UACGGAGGGUGCGAGCGUUGUCCGGAAUCAUUGGGCGUAAAGGGCGCGUAGGUGGCCUGGUCAGCGUGCGGUGAAAGCUCGGGGCUCAACCCCGAGUCGGCCGUGCGAACUGCUGGGCUUGAGCACUGUAGAGGCAGGCGGAAUUCCGGGUGUAGCGGUGGAAUGCGUAGAGAUCCGGAAGAACACCGGUGGCGAAGGCGGCCUGCUGGGCAGUAGCUGACACUGAGGCGCGACAGCGUGGGGAGCAAACAGG
rnacentral:rRNA from 1 species